rnacentral:hammerhead_ribozyme from 1 species
AUCCAGCUGACGAGUGCCAAAUAGGCUAAAACGCGCUUCCUGGAU